rnacentral:rRNA from 1 species
AUACGGAGGAUGCAAGCGUUAUCCGGAUUUAUUGGGUUUAAAGGGUGCGUAGGCGGACCGUUAAGUCAGCGGUGAAAGGUCCCGGCUCAACCGGGGAGCUGCCGUUGAUACUGGCGGACUUGAGUCCAAACGGCGCCGGCGGAAUAUGUAAUGUAGCGGUGAAAUGCAUAGAUAUUACAUAGAACACCGAUCGCGAAGGCAGCUGGCGAGGAUGGCACUGACGCUGAGGCACGAAGGCGUGGGGAUCGAACAGGAUUAGAUACCCUGGUAGUCCACGCAGUAAACGAUGGCGACUUGUUGUCGGCGACAGACGGCCGGUGACAAAGCGAAAGCGAUAAGUCGCCCACCUGGGGAGUACGAUCGCAAGGUUGAAACUCAAAUGAAUUGACGGGG